UACGGGAGGCAGCAGUGGGGAAUAUUGCACAAUGGGCGAAAGCCUGAUGCAGCUAUGCCGCGUGUAUGAAGAAGGCCUUAGGGUUGUAAAGUACUUUCAUCGGGGAGGAAAAACAAAACUAAUAAUUUUAUUUCUUGACGUUACCCGAAAAAGAAGCACCGGCUAACUCCGUGCCAGCAGCCGCGGUAAUACGGAGGGUGCUAGCGUUAAUCAGAAUUACUGGGCGUAAAGAGCACGUAGGUGGUUUUUUUAAGUCAGAUGUGAAAUCCCUGGGCUUAACCUGGAACUGCAUUUUGAAACUGAAAUACUAGAGUAUCGUAGAGGGAGGUAGAAUUCUAGGUGUAGCGGUGAAAUGCGUAGAUAUCUGGAGGAAUACCUGUGGCGAAAGCGGCCUCCUAAACGAAUACUGACGCUGAGGUGCGAAAGCGUGGGGAGCAAACAGGGAUUAGAUACC
rnacentral:rRNA from 1 species